rnacentral:rRNA from 1 species
AUUGAACGCUGGCGGCAUGCUUUACACAUGCAAGUCGAACGGCAGCACGGGUGCUUGCACCUGGUGGCGAGUGGCGAACGGGUGAGUAAUGCAUCGGAACGUGCCCAUGAGUGGGGGAUAGCCCGGCGAAAGCCGGAUUAAUACCGCAUACGCCCUUAGGGGGGAAAGCGGGGGAUCUUCGGACCUCGCGCUAUUGGAGCGGCCGAUGUCGGAUUAGCUAGUAGGUGAGGUAAAGGCUCACCUAGGCGACGAUCUGUAGCUGGUCUGAGAGGAUGAUCAGCCACACUGGGACUGAGACACGGCCCAGACUCCUACGGGAGGCAGCAGUGGGGAAUUUUGGACAAUGGGCGCAAGCCUGAUCCAGCCAUGCCGCGUGAGUGAAGAAGGCCUCGGUUGUAAG